rnacentral:rRNA from 1 species
AUUGAACGCUGGCGGCAGGCCUAACACAUGCAAGUCGAGCGGUAGAGAGGAGCUUGCUUCUCUUGAGAGCGGCGGACGGGUGAGUAAUGCCUAGGAAUCUGCCUGGUAGUGGGGGAUAACGUUCGGAAACGGACGCUAAUACCGCAUACGUCCUACGGGAGAAAGUGGGGGAUCUUCGGACCUUACGCUAUCAGAUGAGCCUAGGUCGGAUUAGCUAGUUGGUGAGGUAAAGGCUCACCAAGGCGACGAUCCGUAACUGGUCUGAGAGGAUGAUCAGUCACACUGGAACUGAGACACGGUCCAGACUCCUACGGGAGGCAGCAGUGGGGAAUAUUGGACAAUGGGCGCAAGCCUGAUCCAGCCAUGCCGCGUGUGUGAAGAAGGUCUUCGGAUUGUAAAGCACUUUAAGUUGGGAGGAAGGUCAGUAGCUUAAUACGUUGCUGAUUUGACGUUACCGACAGAAUAAGCACCGGCUAACUCUGUGCCAGCAGCCGCCGCCGUAA